rnacentral:rRNA from 1 species
GAUGAACGCUGGCGGCGUGCCUAAUACAUGCAGGUCGAGCGAACAGACGAGGAGCUUGCUCCUCUGAUGUUAGCGGCGGACGGGUAAGUAACACGUGGAUAACCUACCUAUAAGACUGGGAUAACUUCGGGAAACCGGAGCUAAUACCGGAUAACAUGUUGAACCGCAUGGUUCAACAGUGAAAGACGGUCUUGCUGUCACUUAUAGAUGGAUCCGCGCCGCAUUAGCUAGUUGGUAAGGUAACGGCUUACCAAGGCAACGAUGCGUAGCCGACCUGAGAGGGUGAUCGGCCACACUGGAACUGAGACACGGUCCAGACUCCUACGGGAGGCAGCAGUAGGGAAUCUUCCGCAAUGGGCGAAAGCCUGACGGAGCAACGCCGCGUGAGUGAAGAAGGUCUUCGGAUCGUAAAACUCUGUUAUUAGGGAAGAACAAAUGUGUAAGUAACUAUGCACGUCUUGACGGUACCUAAUCAGAAAGCCACGGCUAACUACGUG